rnacentral:rRNA from 1 species
AUACCUCCUUCGGGAGAAAGAAGGCCUCUCUUUGAAGCUUUCGCUACUAGAUGAGCCUGCGUAAGAUUAGCUUGUUGGUGAGGUAAAGGCUCACCAAGGCGACGAUCUUUAGCGGGUCUGAGAGGACGAUCCGCCACAUUGGGACUGAGACACGGCCCAGACUCCUACGGGAGGCAGCAGUGGGGAAUAUUGGACAAUGGGCGCAAGCCUGAUCCAGCCAUACCGCGUGUGUGAAGAAGGCCCUAGGGUUGUAAAGCACUUUAAGUUGGGAAGAAAAGUUAUUGAUUGAUACCCAAUAACCGUGACAUUACCAUCAGAAUAAGGACCGGCUAAUUCCGUGCCAGCAGCCGCGGUAAUACGGAAGGUCCAAGCGUUAAUCGGAAUUACUGGGCGUAAAGCGCGCGUAGGUGGUUUAUUAAGUUGGAUGUGAAAUCCCCGGGCUCAACCUGGGAACUGCAUUCAAAACUGAUUCACUAGAGUACGAUAGAGGGAGGUAGAAUUCACAGUGUAGCGGUGGAAUGCGUAGAUAUUGUGAAGAAUACCAAUGGCGAAGGCAGCCUCCUGGAUCUGUACUGACACUGAGGUGCGAAAGCGUGGGUAGCGAACAGGAUUAGAUACCCUGGUAGUCCACGCCGUAAACGAUGUCAACUAGCUGUUGGAGAACUAUGUUCUUCAGUGGCGCAGCUAACGUAGUAAGUUGACCGCCUGGGGAGUACGG